AUUGAACGCUGGCGGCAGGCCUAACACAUGCAAGUCGAACGAGUGGCGGACGGGUGAUUAAUGCUUGGGAAUCUGGCUUAUGGAGGGGGAUAACUACGGGAAACUGUAGCUAAUACCGCGUACCCUAGUAUGAGCCCAUGUGGGAUUAGGUAGUUGGUGCGGUAACGGCUCACCAAGCCGACGAUCGCUAGCUGGUCUGAGAGGAUGACCAGCCACACUGGGACUGAGACACGGCCCAGACUCCUACGGGAGGCAGCAGGGGGGAAUAUUGCGCAAUGGGGGCAACCCUGACGCAGCCAUGCAGCGUGUAUGAAGAAGGCCUUCGGGUUGUAAAGUACUUUCAGUCGGGAGGCGUUACCGACAGAAGAAGCACCGGCUAACUCCGUGCCAGCAGCCGCGGUAAUUC
rnacentral:rRNA from 1 species